GAAGACCGCGACCGCAAGGAGCGGCCAAAGGCGAAACUGGUAAUUGGGGCUAAGUCGUAACAAGGUAGCAGUACCGGAAGGUGUGGCUGGAACACCUCCUUU
rnacentral:rRNA from 1 species